rnacentral:rRNA from 1 species
ACGGAGGGUGCAAACGUUGCUCGGAAUCAUUGGGCGUAAAGCGCACGUAGGCGGAUCGCUAAGUCGGAUGUGAAAUCCCUCAGCUUAACUGAGGAAGUGCAUACGAAACUGCCAAGCUUGAGUUCUGGAGAGGAAGGCGGAAUUCUCGGUGUAGAGGUGAAAUUCGUAGAUAUCGAGAGGAACACCGGUGGCGAAGGCGGCCUUCUGGACAGCAACUGACGCUGAGACGCGAAAGCGUGGGGAGCAAACAGGA